rnacentral:lncRNA from 1 species
CCAAAUCAAAUAUCCCCCUAAAAUAUGUUCAGAGUUGCAUUAUCUGUUCAAAACGAUAGUCCAUGCAAAUGAAAAUUUAUUUCAAGUUAAACUAGAAUGGGAAAAACUAUCUUGCAAUUUACAGUCUCAAUCAAAAGGUAGAGGAAGACAUAGCAUAAAACCACAUAUAAUAGAAAUGUAAAAAACAUGAGUAGAGCUGGAGACUGACUGUCUGAAACAAUUUGGUAUCCACAUACAUCCUCUUCAACCUUCAAUAUAAUAAUCCUAUCAACAAAAGUUUAAACAAAGAAUAUAUAGGAAAUUAAAAAAUUAUAAAAAAAGGUUGAGCAAGUCAUCAUGGAGUUAACAGAUACUCACCUUUUAAUUAUGCAGAGACACCUCAAACACAGCUGUUUCCUCGUUUCACUUCAUUCAGAUUCAGAAUCAUCUGUAUCAACACAAAAAGAAUUAAUAGAAAAAAGCUAAAAUGACGGCUCCAUGUAAAAGUGUAGUAAACAAACUCAAAUUAAUUAAUCUCCUAUUGUUUAAGCAUAUUGAGAUGAAGUGGAGCGCCAAACAAAUAACAACUGAAUUGAUACUCACCAUCACCGACACUGUGAUUGUCAAUUAGGAUGCGGGGGAUAUGGGAAACCUUGGGCCAUUCAGAAUCAGCUGCCUCCCUUUUAAUCACUAAUUCCGGGCAAUCCCAAAUAGAUAGUAUUAUUAAUGUUGUGAGGCGAUGCAUUGCAUCCAUAGAGGGUAGACGCCUUAGCCUUUUGCAGUUAUAUAAAGACAACUCCAUUAGGGAUGAGAGGUUCCCAAACCAUUCAGGUAACUCUUCCAUUCCAAAAUUCUUUAACUUUAGCAGAGAAAGAGCAGUGAGAAGUUGAAUUGAUUCGGGUAGGCAUUUCCAACUUACCAUCCCCUUCAAAUGUAACUUAUCAAGUGAGUGGCAACAUGCUUGCAAUAUGCCAUCCACAGUCUCCACCCCCAUACUAACAUCGAUACCCAGCUGUCUACAAGCUAGGGAAAAGGCGAAAUCUUAAGACAACCAGUGGCCAUAAAUUUAGGAACGCCUCUAAUUUCCAAUUCUGUUAGACGAGCCAAUCUUGGGAGGCACUCAAUUACCCUUCCUAAAUUCUUUAGGCUUCUUAAACUCCUCAACGACAACUCCUCAAGAGAGAAUCCUAGCAUUUCACAUGGCAAAUACUCCAAUGCUUUGCAUGCACUAAUCUCGAGAUGGCGAAGGGAUGUGAAGCUUCGUUGGGAUUGUUCUCCCCCGCUAUCUCUAUCCCCUAAUUCUCUCAAAUUGGGGCACUUCCUUAUAUACAAUUCAGAGAGAGUCUGGUUGUUACUGAAUAACCAAUCAGCUGGGAGACAUUCCACACCAAUUCCACCAAUUUUCAAAUGUUGAAGGCAUGACGAGACAUGACUUGGAACACUCAUCAAUUGCUUGCAAUCGUCAAUUUCCAAACGUUGGAGGCGAGGAAAUAGCUUCACUUCACUUCCACCCGAAACUUCUAUUUCUGCCCACUCUGCCAGCUUAGGCAUGUGUUCCAAUCUGAGAUUUUCGAGAGAUGGAAAAACAAUGCGUGUGUCGUUGUUCACCAUUCCGUAGAAUGAUGAAUUUAUACACUCCAAAUUGCUCAAUUCACUCAACUCAAGGGACUUGAGAUUGGGCAACUGCCCCACACCUGGAACACUCAUCCAUUGCUCGCAAUGACUAAUUUCCAGUAUGUUGGAGGCGAGGAAGAAUUUAUACACUCCAAAUUGCUCAAUCUCAUCAACUCAAGGGACUUGAGAUUGGGCAACUGCCCCAAACCUGGAACACUCAUCAAUUGCGAGCACCGCUUAAUUUCCAAAUGUUGGAGUCGGGGAAAUAGCUUCACUUCACUUGAAACUUCUAUUUCUGACCACACUUCAAGCUUAGGCAUGCGAUGCAAUUCGAGCCUCUCGAGAGCUCGAAAAACAAUGCGUAUGUCGUUGUUCACCAUUCCGUAGAAUGAUGAAUUUAUACACUUCAAACUGCUCCAUCGAAACAACACAAGGGACUUGAGAUUUGGCAAGUGCCCCAACAUUGGGAUCUCUUCACAUUCUUCGCAGUUACAGAGUGAUAACGACAUUAACUUGUUAAGUACCGCAUCUCCAACUGCCAUCUUUUGAGUCCAUAAUGGAAACCUACUGCCUUUGUAUCCAGAAAUCUCAAACUCCCUGAGAUCUGAGUGAGGCUGCAGCCCUUCCAAUACAUUCUCAUCAUUUCUUUCACCUUCUCUGCCUCUAUUCCAUUCCAAACGCAGCUUCAAUAUUUUUGACUUUUGGAAUAAAUUGGCUUUCCGAGCCUCUUCCUUGUCAUGAACCCUUUCGAGAUUGCGAAUCCGUAGCCCUCCUUUAAGAUUAUUCAAACUUCCCAGCUCUUCAAUUUUGCACCUAUUCUCAUCGCCCACUGGAAAAUGCGUUAGCGUUUGAAGAGACGUUAAUCCCCCAAUUCCCAUAGGCAAGUACUCUACAUUCUCAUUAAUAUAAAGAUGCCUCAAGUUAAUCAAGUACUUAAUCGUACUUGGCAGUUUCUCCAAAGUAUAUGUGGGUACUCUCAACGUCUGCAAGUGAAAGAAUUCACCAAUCCAAUCCGGCAAAUAUUCAAUACUUGUAUUUGAAAUGUCAAAAUCUCUCAAAUGUAUCAACUUUCGAAUCGAACUUGACAACUCUUUCUCUUCAGUGCAGCAAAGACAUAAAGCAUGCAAACUUUCGAAGUCUGAGAAGUUGAUACCAGAACAAUCACCUCCCAAUAAUAAUGUACGCAAAUAUUUUGCCAUUUCUUUUGAGAUAGGACUUGAUUCUUCCUCUUCGAGUUCGAGAGCCAUGUAUCGAACUCGGCUGCUACCACCAGUAUUGUUAGAGGAACUUGAAACAGAAGAAGCGAGAUCGUGCACAAGAUCGUGCAUGCUACAUCUUUCUACAUCUCCGUACUCAUCUCUCCCAGAAACUUGCAGUAAAGAGUUGUGCAGAAGAACGUUGAUAAAUUUUUCGCCCACAGACUCCAUGUCAUCCCUUCCAUCAGCUUGAAGAAAACCUUCUGCCAUCCACACUCAAUAGUUGUUUUGAUUCAGCCUUUAGGAAACAUCGAACAGUACGCAAAGCAUUUCUUAAGUAGUGGCGGAGACAAAUUAUCGAAGCUCAAUCUCAGUAUUUUUGUGAUAUAAUCUCCUCCUUCAUCGGCUGAAAGCCAUUUCUCCUCGAUUGAACGCCAUUUCUCCUCAGAUUUAUUGUGCAGAACACCCCCAACUACGUUGGCAGCUAACGGCAAACCUUGACAUUUGCUUGCAAUUUUUUUCCCAUGUCCUCGAAUUCUGAAGGAACAUUUUCUUCUCCAAGGUUUUAGCUUUGAUUAUCGACCAACAAUCUUCUCUGAUAAACCUUUCAACUCAUGUGUAUGUAGUGGAUUCACAAUUGAAGCAACCUCCGUACUUCUCGUGGUAACAAGAAUGGCAUUUCCUUUGACAGAACUAACUCCCAACAAAGAAUUGAUAAAAUAUUCCCAUUUGGAACGAUCUUCAUUCCAUACAUCAUCGAGUACAAGAAGAUAAGUUUUGUCUUUCAAAGCAUUUUGAAGCUUUGAAAGAAUAUUCGUACUCCAUUCACUUACGAAGUCAACUUGAAAUUUUCUUAAAGAAUGAUUGGAUCAAAAUUUGGAGAAACAUGCACCCAAAUAUAUGAUCCAAACCGAUUCUCAUCCUUGAGACGAUUGAAGACUUUCCUAGUCAAUGUCGUCUUCCCCAAUCCCCCAUCCCGACAAUGGGAAGGAUGGAAACUGCGCGUUCAUCAGUUGUGAUGCUAUUGGUAAGCAUCUCAACUAUUUCCGACGCAACAUCAUCUCUUCCAACAAAAAUUGGAUCAACAAUGAAUGAAUUAGUUUCCAAAGUAGCAAUAACCAAAGUGGGCUCAUUAGCAAGCUCCCCUUUGAGACCAAGAUCGGCGGCCUCUUUGUUAAUGGACUCCAAAUUGUCAUUGAUUUCUUUGAUUUUAAGAGCCAUAUUUCGAGAACGUGAAAUAUGGUUGAAGCAUGAGAAGCACGAUGGUACCUUUGUCUUCUUGGGCUUGAUUUGUUUGGAGAGAAUAUGAUAGUUGAGUUCAUCCAAAACAUUGUCAGCAUCGAACGCCACAUCUUCAAGCUUCUUCAGCCAGCUCUUGACAGCUUCGUUGUUGAUGUCACGCGUCUCGGCAUCGUUCAAGUAGUUUUUGAUCAUGUCGAGAUUGCCAGCUAGCUUUGCUGCAUCUUUGUCGAGACGUCGGUUUUGAGAGAUCUCUUUCUUGGAGAGGUCGAUGAGAUUUUGAACUAGAAAUUGAAGGACGGCGGCAGCAGCUUCUCCUUCCAUUCUUUGUGCUGAUAAUUUAGAGAGAGAAAGAGAGUAAUUGAGUGAGAGAGAGAUUGAGCUGAGGAAUAGAAUUGGACGAGUGGUGCAAGCUGACGAGUAUACAGCCUUUCAUUCUAAUUCUUUCCUUUCUCAACACUUCAUACCUCUUUCGCUUUUCUUUGCCUUGUUUUCAUUCUUAUUCUUUUCUUUCUCAAUACCGCUUCUCUUUACAUCUUACCCCUUUCCCUCUUUUUUUGGCUUGUUUUUAUUCUUUCUUAUUCACAAACGAAAGAAUAAUGAGGUCAAACAUAUAUAUACUUCUUCUUUUUUAUCGAAUAAUAAUAUUAAAUAAAAAAAUUUAAAAGUUCUUUUGAUCUUAGAUAUUAAUCACUUUAAUGCUUGGCUAACAUAUAUUGACACCCAUGUGGAAUAUAUAUAGCCGGUUGCGUGCCAUAUAUAAAAUGAAAGCACACAGAUUUAUUAAUGUAUAUUGUAUCAAUUCAAAAGGCUACAGGGCCUUGAACAUGAAUGUUAUAUAUACUCAUGUGGAAUAUGUACAACUAGUGUUUAGUGAAAAAGUAAAUAAAAAAGUAAAAGGAAAGAGAGAGUGAAUGAAAAAAGCAACUUUAAUUUAUUACAAAAAGGAAAACGACUCAACUUCGUUGGGACCAUAUAAAUCUUCUGACUCGAUAAUGGAAACCUACUGCCUUUGUAUCCAUACAUCUUUAACUUCUUCAAAUCUGAGUGAGGCUGCAGGCCUUCCAAUACAUUCUCAUCAUUUCUUUCACCUUCUCUCACAUCACCCCAUUCCAAACGCAACUUCAAUAUUUUUGACUUUUGGAAUAAAUUGGCUUUCCCUCUGUUAGAGGAACUUGGCUAUCGAACCAGGCAGUCCAUACGUAUUUUACAGCUGUGGGGAGGAUGGUUUUGUCCAACACGUAGGCUUUCUAAGUGCUGAUAUCCAUACCGAAUUUCCAUUAAAUCCUUCAUUAUGCCCGACUCCUUAUUUCUUUUGCAGUAUGAUCUACGAAGUUGCUCUGCUACCAAGCUUUUCUAUUGCUCUUCAUUCGCAGAAAACAGCCGGUCUUCAAGCGUCGGGCUGAAUGCCAUGGUUAUUGACCCAAGAAAUCCUAACUAUUUUUCUGUAGGAGGUAGUGAUGUUUACGCACGUUUGUAUGACACCAGAAAAUACCAAGUCAAUGCAUCAACUAAAGAAGGAAGCCCUGCCAACUACUUCUGCCCUCAUCACCUUAUCGGGAAAGACGAUGUUCGCAUUGUUGAGAAUAAGAUACCAAAGUCAGAAAUAGCCGCACAAUAAAUUCAGUUAGAAGUCAGAAAUAGCAGCACAAUAAAUUCAGUCCAACAUUAACCAAAAUCCCUUAAUCAAAGGGAUUUUGGUAUGACUAUCAGUUCUCCUUAAACGCUAUAAAAUAGGAACGAUUGUAAUGAAAAAAUAUGAAAUACAAAACACAAAGUAUCUUUACAGCCAUCUUGUAUCUCUUCUUUAUCAAUGUCAAUACCAAUUUUUAAGUUUUAACAUGGUAUCAGAGCAGGCAUGAUUCUGGGAACUCAGAAAUCAUUCAUCACGGUGGCCGACUCGGCUGAGAAGCCUCAACGGCGGUUUCCGCCGCCGUGCUGGACCCAAGAAGAGACCUUAGUUCUGAUCGAGGCGUACCGAGAGCGCUGGUACGCCCUCCGCCGCGGCUACCUCCGGACGGCGGACUGGGACGCGAUUGCCGCUGCCGUGGCGAGCCACUGCCCCGGCGCAUCCCCGGCGAAGACCUCCGCGCAGUGCCGCCACAAGAUGGAGAAGCUCCGGCAGCGCUACCGCGCUGAGAAGCAGCGCGCCAUCUCCUUCUUUGGCGAAUGGAGAAUGGAGAAGCAGCGUGAGAAUGGAGAAUGCAGCGUGAGAAUGGAGAAUGCGAAGAUGGAGAUGAAAAGUGAGAGGGAGGCGGAUGGAGAAGGGAGGGGAGAAGUGAGAGGAAGGAAAUUAGGUAAAGGGUUUGGUGUUUUCACACUAAACCCUCAUUCUUCUCUUUAUUUGCAAAAGAUACCCCACCCUUUAAAAGUUGCCCCCCUAAGUUCCAAUAAAAUACGAAAGCUACCCCGAGGUUUUAUUAAAUUGCAGAACUUACCCCAUCUUAUGCAAAAAGACCCACCUACUCUUAUUAAAUAUCAGAAUAGCCCCCAUUUGCAGCCUAGUCCCUCGAAAUUUAGGGAUUUAUAUAGUAUACCCCAUUUUAUGCAAAACCACCCACAAAAAAUGCAUAAUCAUGAUAUUGACCCUAAAAGGCUUUCAAACUUUUCCGCUGCGUACCAGAUGUCAGGUAAUAAUAGGGAUAGAGAUAAAGGGUGGAUUUUUGAUUGUGGAGCCACUGAUACAAUGACUUUUGAUAAAACUGAUAUUAUUAAGUCAUCAACAUCACAUCGUACGCAUGUUCAGACUGCAAAUGGUGAUUUGACUCGUGUUAAAGGAGCCGGAACUAUAGAAAUUUCCCCAUUUACGCUCUCAAAUUGUCUUUAUGUCCCGUCUCUUUCACACAAACUCUUAUCUAUUUAGCCAUGUUACAAAAAGAAUUCAAUUGUACCAUGAUAAUGCAUCCCCACUUCUGUUUGCUUCAGGAUAUCAGGACGGGGGAGAUUAUUGGGCGUGGCACUGAGCGGGAUGGAUUGUACUAUGUGGAUGAGAUAGCUCAACAAGGCAAGGUGAUGCUGGCUCACGGAACUGCUGACCGGGAAGCCUGGCUUUGGCACCGUCGGUUAGGGCAUCCAUCCAUGGGGUAUCUUAAGCUUUUAUUUCCUAAAUUAAUAAAAAAUGAUGAGAAUUUAUCUUGUGAAACUUGUGUUCUAGCUAAAAGCCACCGAAAAUCUUUUAAGCCUAAUGACACACAAGUAAACUCCAUAUUUUCUCUUGUUCAUUCUGAUGUUUGGGGUCCUUCACCCGUGGUAGGGGGACAAGGUUUUAAAUAUUUUCUGUUAUUUAUUGAUGAUUGCACUAGGAUGACAUGGGUAUAUUUUUUAAAACACAAAUCUGAAGUUUUUGAAAAAUUUACUCAUUUCCAUACUAUGGUUCAAACUCAGUUUCAGAAAAACAUCCAAACCCUUAGAACUGAUAAUGGGGGGGAAUUUGUUAAUAAUUCAAUGAAAAUAUUUUGUCAAACAAAAGGGAUUAUUCAUCAAACUACUUGCCCCCACACUCCUGAACAAAACGGAGUUGCCGAAAGAAAAAACCGAAUUUUACUUGAAAUGACUCGUUCUAUGAUGAUUGAGUCUCAUGUUCCCUCAUCUUUUUGGCCCGAGGCCGUGACAACCUCGGCUUACCUUAUUAACCGUCUCCCUACUAGGACUCUUAAACUUCAAACACCAUUACAGAAAUUGUCUACUCUGGCCUCCAUACCUCUUGCCCUUACACUUCAACCACGGGUCUUUGGGUGCUCUGUUUUCGUUCACAUUCCUAAACAUGAACGCACCAAACUCUCUCCUUGUGCAGUAGUGUUUUUUUGUCGGUUAUGGAGUUAAUCAAAAAGGAUAUAGGUGUUACAAUUCCAAAACCCGUCAAAUCAUCACCACCAUGAACUGUGAUUUCCUUGAAACUGAGUAUUUCUACGAUAACCACCUUACCAGUCAGGGGGAGUAGUGAGAGUGAGAUCGACUUGUUAAGUUGGUUACCAAUGCCAGUCUCGGAAGCAGAUCCAAACAGAAAAAGUUAGCCUUGCCACCGAGCAUGUUUCAUCCACUCCAGAACAAUCUAGUCCACCGCCGCCCCAAAUAUCUUCUUCGCCACUGAUAUCUGAGGUAAGAGAUUCUGAACCUAUUACUAUGAUUUCGGGUUCUACUGAUCCUGUUUCUCAAGUGGUUGAAGAAGAAGAACAGGAAGUACAGGAGGAGCAUACAUGGGUGCAGACAAUGGGAGAUAUGUGUUACCCCCUAGAAGUACUCGAGGAAUUCCUCCUAAACGUUAUUCACCAGAAAAGUUUGGGAAGAACUCUCGGUAUUCUAUUGGGGUAUCGCCAAAGGGAACCUAUCCAAAACUGCCGCUGCCUAUGAAGUAGCUUUGUAUGACGAAGAGAUCCCAAAGAAUGCGGAACAGGCCUUAAAGAUUCCACAUUGGAGAGAUGCCAUGAAGAAAGAAUAAGUGCACUGAAUCGAAACCAUACAUGGGAGAAGUGUAGACUACCAAAGGGGAAGAAAACGUGUAGGAUGCAGAUGGGUUUUCACAAUCAAAAGAAGACCGGAUGGAUCUAUUGAGCGUUACAAGGCUCGAUUGGUCGCAAAAGGAUACACACAGAUGUAUGGGAUCGACUAUGAGGAGACCUUCUCACCUGUUGCAAAGAUGAACACUGUCAGGGUGCUCCUCUCAAUUGCUGCUAAUAAAGACUGGGAUCUUCAUCAGUUCGAUGUUACAAAUGCUUUCCUUCAUGGAGAGCUUGAAGAAGAUAGGGAAGUCUACAUGGAGGUGCCUCAAGGUUUUUCAGGAGAUUUUGGAGAGGGUGAAGUUUGCAAGUUGAAGAAAACCUUAUAUGGGCUCAAGCAGUCUCCCAGAGCUUGGUUUGGGAGAUUCACCGCAGCUAUGAAGAAGUUUGGGUACCAGCAAAGCAAUUCAGAUCACACCUUAUUCUUGAAGAAACGAGGUGAUCUUAUUUCUUGCUUAGUCAUUUAUGUUGAUGACAUGAUCAUAACAGGGGAUGACUUAGAAGAAAUCCAGAAGUUGAAAGCGAAUCUUUUCAAGGAGUUACGAAAUGAAGGACCUUGGGAGACUAAAGUACUUCCUCGGGAUCGAAGUACUCAGAUCGAGGAAAGGGAUUUUUAUCAAUCAGAAGAAGUAUACUCUUGACCUUCUUGCAGAAACUGGGAUGCUAGAUUGCAAGCCAGUUGAGACGCCUAUGGCUAUCAAUCAUGGGCUACAGAUUGUGAAGGGAGCUGAAUUGGCGGAUCGAGGAAAAUAUCAACGUUUGGUAGGGAAACUUAUAUAUCUUUCCCAUACUCGGCCUGAUAUUGCAUAUGCUGUUGGAGUUGUGAGUCAGUUUAUGCACCAACCACAAGCUGACCAUAUGGAAGCAGCACUCAGAAUUGUGAGAUACUUGAAAGGAACCUUUGAUUAUGGAGUACUGUUCAGGAAGACUGGACAUCUCGAGAUACAGCUACACUGAUGCUGACUGGGCUGGAAACCGUGACGAAAUCAACAGCAGGUACUUUGCCUUCAUUGGAGGGAAGUCUUGUAUCAUGGAGAAGCAAGAAACAAAAGGUAAGUAGGCACUCUCAAGUGCAGAAGCAGAAUUCAGGGGAAUCAAGAGUGGGCUGACUGAAGUUCUUUGGUUGAGAAGGCUACUAAUGGAGUUAAGUCUUCAUCCAACAAAAACAAUAGCCAAAUGUUCUGUGACAACAAAGACCGCCAUCAGCAUAAUCUAAAAUCCGGUGCAACAUGAUAGAACCAAACAUGUUGAAGUUGAUAGGCACUUCAUCAAAGAGAAGAUCGAAGAGGGAUCGUGACCCUACCCUUUGUCAGAUCCGAAGAUCAACUCGCUGACAUCUUAACCAAAGCUGUGAACUCCAAGAGUUUUUCAGAAGUUCUUGGCAAGUUGAAUAUCGGGAAUCUCGUUACUCAACUUGAGGGGGAGUGUUGAAAAUAACUACAAAGUCAAGAAUAGCAGCAUCCAAAAGUCAGAAAAGUCAGAAAUUGCAGUAGCCAAAUCUCCAUGUAUCAGUCAAAUAUUAACCAAGGAUCCCUUAAUCAUAGGGAUCCUGGUAUGACUUUAGAGGAAUGUAAUACAUUAUAAAGGGUGAUUGUAUUCUUCAGAAAACAUAAGAAAUACAAUAACAAUCUUUGGCUUCUCUUUAUUUUUCUACAUUAUGAUGAUACCAUGUUUUAACAUCUACAAUAGAAGUUCUUUGGUACGAGAUUCUUAAUGAUACGAUCCGUAUCAAUGGCGAAGUUUUUCGAGCAAGCUCAAACUCCAGAAAUCAAGAGAGAAGAAAGAAGUUUGAUAAAACAUCAACCAAAAUAUUCAUUUCAUACCCAAUAAACUUAGAGAUUACAUUAUUUAUACCUAAUAUUAAAAACCUAAUGGGCUUUGGGCUGAGCAUAAGUGGACUAAACUAGAGCUUGGGAUGAGUGUAUCAUUCCCCACUCCUUCACAAUCACCUUGUCCUCAAGGUGAAGUUGUAAAGAAAGAAAAACGGCUAUGGGAGAUGAUUUGGCCCGCUAAUUGCAAAAACAAACUAAAUAGUGCCACAAUACAACUGCCCGACACAUGCUUGAUAAAAGCUACGACUGGAAAACAACUAAGAAGCUUGAUAAAACUACGACCACCAUGUGCUCGACAAAAGUCCCAGCUGAAAACCUGCAGAAAAUUACUCCGAGCAAACUCAAAACUGAUGCACAUCAGCUGGGCGUGCCCACGAGAUCCGGGCGGCGGUUCGCCACAUAGCUGGACUUCUUGAUCAAGUCCACGAUCCUUCUCCUUGACGUCGACGGCGUGAUGUGGCGCGGUUAAUAGCAGAGACAAGCCUUGAGGCCGUGGAAGAACCCAAUUUUUUUAUCUCGGAGGAAGCGAGCACUUGGGCUGUGGGCAGCCACAAUCAAAGCUUUAGGGCCACUCAUAUUAGGCCCAAAUAUAUUGAUUGGGUUGGGCUCUUCAUUCUUAGACUUGGGCCCAAUAGAAAUCUCAAACAACCAAUUCAAUGGGUAAUGAUAAACCCUCGCCCGCUGUAGAAUAAUUGAGAUUGUCGGCAACGUCGGCGGCGGGGGUACACCCUCAAUAAUCUCAUCGUCAACUGCCGAAAUAGGAUUGCCCGGUGGAUCAAGGUCAUCUUCUCCAUAACCCAAAAGGAGUAUUUUUUUGUUGCAGCAGCGGUGGGUCGGAGACGGUGGUGACUGACUAGGUGGGGUGGGCGUUGGUGGGGGAUUUCUCGAAGGAGUUAUUGGUGGCGGUGGUUGUGGUGGCAGCGGCGAUGGUGGUGGUGUUGCAGGGGAAGACGGUACGUUUGGGGGUGGCUCGGUGGGAGGAGGUGGUAUGGGCAGUGGAGAUGUUGACGGCGGCGGAGGCUGGAGAUCUAUCUGUGAUAGCGGAGAUGGUGGUUCGAGUCCUGUGAAAGGAUGGGGCGAUGAGAAUGGCUGUGCAGAGGCGCAAAUGCUUGAGAUAUCCUUCACUUUAACUUCAACUCCACCCAUGGAAUAAGGAGACUUGGGAUCUCCAAAGUCAUCCUCAUCAUCGGUGCCGAAAAGAAUCAAAUAUUUGCUGCGGCAUCGGUGGGUAUCGGACCAAGUUUGGUCACAAUUGUAACACAACCCGAGGUCGUUUUUAGCUUCGAUUUCAGAUCGGCUUAGACGGCGAAUGGGAAGAUGUGAUGUGGAGUGAGUUGUAUGUAAGAUUGGGGGAAACGAUGGUGGUGGAUAGGGAGCUGGAGUAAUGGGUGGUGGGGAAGGUGAUGGUGGUGGCGGAGAGUGGACUGGUGGCGGCGGAGAGAAGACGGGUGGUGGUGGGGAGUGCACUGGUGGGGGUGGGGAGUGGACGGGUGGCGGAGGAGAGUGCACUGGUGGAGGCGGGGAGUGGACUGGUGGCGGCGGAGAGUGCACUGGCGGGGGUGGGGAGUGGACUGGGUGGUGGAGGGGAGUGAACGGGUGGUGGGAAAGGGAUGAAAACGGGAGGAAUUUGGAGCCGCCUGAAAUAGGCGUCGAACGAGGUUGGCCAGCUGUAGAUAGGCGGUCUGAAGCUCUUCAAUGGCGGCACAGAUUUCGGAUUUUGACAUCUUUUUUUUUUUUUUUUUGAUAUUCAAAGAGAGAUACUCUCAAUGAAAGCACCAAUUGAUACGAUCCGUAUCAAUGGUGGAGCAAUUCGAGUAGCUCAAACUCCAGAAAUCAAGAGAGAAGAAAGAAAUUUGAUAAACAUCAACCAAAAUAUUCAUUUCAUACCCAAUAAACUUAGAGAUUACAUUAUUUAUACCUAAUAUUAAAAACCUAAUGGGCUUUGGGCUGAGCAUAAGUGGACUAAACUAGAAGUCCUUUGGAACGAGAUUCUUAACCUUAUCUAAUAGAACACUAUCUCUACCUUCCCUUUUCACAGAUUCAAUCAACAUCGAAUAUGUAGUUUUGUCGAGUGUGAAUCCCCUUGCAUCCAUCUCUUCCAUGAGUGGCAUUGCAUCAAGCGUCUGGUUCCUUUUGAGAAGACCUUGAACAAAAACAUUGUAUGUCACACUAUUAGGCAAGCAACCAUUGUUUACCAUUUGCGUCAUCAAAUCCUUAGCCUCAUCUAUCCGUCCUUCCUUACAAAGUGCACCGAUAAGGAUUGUAUAAGUUAUGAUGUCAGGUUGCAAACCUUUGGAUGGAAGCUCAUGGAACAGAUCCUUAGCCUCCUCGAUCUGUGCUUCUUCGCAAAGUGCACCGAUAAGGAUUGUAUACGUUAUAACGUCAGGCUGCAAACCUUUGGAUGGAAGCUCAUGGAACAGAUCCUUAGCCUCCGCUAUAUGCCCUUCUUUGCAAAGUGCACCGACAAGGAUUGGAUACAUUAUGGUGUCGUGCUGCAAACCUUUGGAUGGAAGCUCAUUGAACAAAUCUUUUGCUUCUCUGACUUUAUUACUACGCAAAGACUUGUGUGCGGGUGCCCGCAUGGUAUGCGGACCACCCGAACACAUGUGUUUAUAUAUUAAGUUAUAGUAAUGAUUUUCAAACUUAUGAUGUGGUGUAGUGGUAACAGCCACUACUCUUUCUCCCCAAGGUCAGGAUUUCGAAUCCUGUUGCCCCCAUUUCUGUUUUUUUGUUUUGUUUUUUUUUUCUAGUUUUAUUUCUUUUCUUUUUUUUUCUUUUUUUUUCCUUUUUCUGUUUUCUUUAUUUUUUUAUCUUUAUAUAUAUAUUCUUUUUCUUUACAAUAUUUUUUUUUCUUUGCAUUAUUUUUAAAUUUUACUAUUUUUCUUUUGCUAUUUUUUAAUAUAUUUUGGUUUUUUUAUUCUUUCGGUAUUUUCUUUAUUUUUCGUUUGUUUUUUAUUUUUUGUUUUUCUUUUGUAUUUUUUUUAUAUAUUUUUGUGAAAAAUGUAAUAUUUUAAAAUAUUACAUUUCUUCAAAAACAUUACAUUUCUUCAUGUCAAUAAUUAUUUUUUAUUAUAAUAAUAAUAAUUAUUUGAUAAAAUAACUAAAUGUAAUGUUUCUAAAUAAUUACAUUUGUUCACGAUUAUUAAAAUGCAAUUUUUCUUCAUGACAAUAAUGAUUUUUAUUAUAAUAAUAAUUAUUUGAUAAAAUAACUAAAUGUAAUGUUUCUAAAUAAUUACAUUUGUUCACGAUAAUUGUUACUUUUAUUUAUGAGAAUUUGUACUUUAGUUAUUUGAUCAAAUAAUUAUUUGUGUAAGCAAAAGUAAUAGCACUUUUAGGGUUUAGUAUUCCCUAUUUAGGGUGUAGUAUUCAGUGUUUAGAGUUUACAAAAUAUUGAAUGAUGGUUAAUACUUAUAUUCACAAAAGUAUACAUUUAAGCAUGGAAAUGUAUAUCUUAGAUAAAAUUAAAGUAAAUAUUGCCAUUUGAAUUUAUUAUUGAAUGGCUAGGGUGUAGAGUAAUAACUUUUAGGGUUUAGUAUUCUUUAGGGUUUAGUAUUCCGUUUUAGGUUUAAAAAAUAUUGAAUGAGGUUAAUACUAAUAUUCACAUAAGUAUACAUUUAUGCAUAAAUGUAUAUCUUAGAUAAAAUAAAAGUAAAUAUUGCCAUUUGGUUUAUUAUUGAAUUUAGGGUUUAGUAUUCAGUGUUUAGGGUUUAGUAUUCCCUAUUUAGGGUUAGUAUUCAGUGUUUAGAGUUUACAAAAUAUUGAAUGAUGAUUAAUACUUAUAUUCACAUAAGUAUACAUUUAAGCAUGAAAUGUAUAUCUUAGAUAAAAUAAAGUAAAUAUUCAUUUGGAUUUAUUAUUGAAUGACUAGGGUUUAUUAUUGAAUAUGACUAGGGUUUAGUAUUCAAGGUUUAGGGUUUAGUAUUCCCUAUUUAGGGUUUAGUAUUCAGUGUUUAGGUUUAAAAAAUAUUGAAUGAUGGUUAAUACUUAUGUUCCAUAAGUAUACAUUUAAGCAUGUAAAUGAUAUCUUAGAUAAAAUAAAAGUAUACAUUCAGUGUUUAGUUUGAAACAUUAAUUUCUUCACAACAAUUUUAUUUUUAUUCAUACGAAUGUUUACUUUUAGUUAGUUACUUAAGUAAUAAUCUUUGUAAAUAAAAGUAAUUAUUGAUGUGAAGAAAAGUAAUCUUUAUAACAAUAAUUACUUUUUAGACAACAAUAAUUACAAUAAAUAUAAUAUUUUGAAACAUUACAUUUCUCCAUAUCAAUUAUUACUUUUUAUUAUAUAUAUCAAUGAUUAUUUAAUAACAUAAAUAAUAAUAUUAUUAUUUGAUCAAAUAAUUAUUAUCGUAAGAAAAAUAAUUAUUGAUAUGUAUAAUGCUUUAUAUUGAAUGAAGGUAAAUAUUUAUAUUACCAUAAGUAUACAUUUGUGUAACAAAAUGUAUAUCUUAUGCUUAUUAAAAGUAAAUACUCAUAUUAGGGUUUAGUGUUUAGGUUUUAAGGUUUAGUUUACAGGGUUUAGGGUUUAAUUUAUAGGAUUUAGGGUGUAAAAAUAUAAUACUUUAUAUUAAAUGAAGAUAAAUACUUAUAUUUACAAAAGUAUAUAUUUGUGCGAAUAAAUGUAUAUGUUAUGCUUAUUAAAAGUAGCAUUUACUAUAAGCAAAUGUAAUAAUUUGGGGUGACGGAUCAAAUGGGCGCGGGUCAGGGGCGCGGAUCCGGGUCAAGGUUGGGGCGUGGGUCGACCCGGCCGCAUCCCAUGCGGGUGCCCUCACCCAAGUCCAACUCUUAUUACUAAUGCACAAUCCUUCAAUUAAUGAGAACAUUGUAUGUUACUAUGUCGGGAAUGAUGCCUUCAUCUUUCAUGGUAUGCAACACCGAAAAUGCUUCAGCAAUACGAUUAGCUCCGCACAAACCACCCAACAAGAUAUUGUAAGUCUUUAUAUCUGGAGACACUUGUAGAGCUUCCAUCUCUUUGAACAGCUUCGAGCCGUCUUCAUAUUUGCCAUCACGAAAUAAUGCAUGUAGCAUUAUGUUAUAAGAAAACACAUUGCACUCUAAUCUUUUGGCGGGAAUUAUGGUAAAAAGACGUGAAACUUCAUCAACUCGCCCCAUUUUGCAAUACCCAUUCAUCAAGCUAUUGUAGCUUAUGAUAUUGGGUUUGAUUCCAGAAUUCACCGCCAAUUGGAAAAUGUUUCUAGCUUCAUCCAUUUCUCCUUGUAAGCAAUAAUGCAUUGCAUGUGACGAUGUUGGGUUGAACAUCUAUCUCUUACUUAGAGACCAACAUAUGCUCGGCCUCUUUCACCUUUCCAUCUAUGCACCAAGCAUCCACAAAGAUAUUACACGUCACCACAUCUGGGCAAACCUUGUCAGCUAUCAUCUUCUUUAAAAUGUUUUCGGCUUCGUCCAUUCUUCUCCUAUUGCGUAACCCCUCAAUUAUCGAAUUAUAUGUCACAACAUUGGGUGAAAUCCCCUUAUCACCCAAGGUGGAGAAGAUUUGGAGAGCAUGGUCCACCUUUCCAUCCUUGCAUAGACCAUCAAUGACUUUCAAAUAAAAGCAUAACAGGAAACAAUAGGUCAACUAAAUUAGUGUUUGUAUGGGUAAGUUAAUGUCCAAAAUUUGAGGUUUCGGAUUUUUUAAAAAUUUUAUUUUAUUUGUGUAAUUUAUAUAAAAAAAGAAGGGUUAAUUGCCGAAAAAACAUAUACUUUUUCGAUUUUUGGUUAUUUCCCAUGACAAAAAAAGUCUGAACAUAAAUCCAUGAAUUGAAAACUUAAUUUUAAUUUUCCCCCGCGUCAAUUUUUUCCCCAAAUUGAAUCCGAGGUGGCAAUCGGAUUUCCAAUGUGUCAUCGUCGGGAAUUGAACGAGACGACCCGUUUUAAUUUUAAUUAAACGACGCCACAGACCGUCAACGUCGCUUGAAUUGGAGUUUUGCGGCGAUAGUGAAGCUUUUUUUAGUCCCGUCACCUCGACCUCCGGCGCCAGCAAACCAGUCAACGGUCGCCUUGCCCGAGCCUCGUGACUCCACCCCGAGUCCCCGACGCCGGCGACGAUUGGCAGUUGGCACGACAAUUAGUUUUGAGAGAACUGAUUUAGAUCCCAGCUCCCACCUCCGUCGCCCUCAUCUCGCCUCCAACCUCCGCCCUCUCGCCUCGCCGCUUCCACACACCGCCUCCGCCCUCCCCUUUCCUCUUCCAGUUCGCUCGCCUCUAUUCUCAUUAAUUAGGGCUCAUUGCUUGACAAAGCAGGGGGAGGGAGACAGAACCAGAUCUGCGGCGUCUCUUUCAGAAAUUUGGGUAACUGAUUCAGAUCCCGGCUCCCACUUCCGCCGCCCUCGUCUCGCCUCCAACCUCUGCCCUCUCGCCUCGCCGCCUCCGCCCUCCCAUUUCCUCUUCCAGUUUGCUCGCCUCCAUUCUCAUUAAUUAGGGCUCAUUGCUUGACAAAGCAGGAGGAGGGAGACAGAACCAGAUCUGCAGCGCCUCUUUCAGAAAUUUGGGUUUCAGGCGGCGGCGAUGUGGCUGCCUAGUCAUCAAUUUAUUUUGACAGAUGGAAUGAAUUAUGCCACGUUGGAUCGAAGCUCCAUCGGAGAUCGCCGGAAAAUGGACGCGGGGGAAAAUUACAAUUAAGUUUUCAAUUCAUGGAUUUCUGUUCAGACUUUUUUUGUCAUGGGAAAUAACCAAAAAUCGAAAAAGUAUAUGGUUUUUCCGGCAAUUAACCCAAAAAAGAAACAGGUCAACUAAUUCUAGAGAAUAGGACUUUAUUAAACAAAAAUAAAGAUAAAUUCCUUGCAGUUGGAUUGGUGGACGGAUUUUGUAUUAUUUUUCAAGUUUAAAUAUAUUCUUUGGUGAUGAAUUAGUCAAAGUAUCUAAAUUCAAAAUAAUAUAUACUUGAGGUACGAAGGUAGUAUUAAAAAAAAGUAAUUAGGGACUAAUAGGAAUAAAAUAAUACUAAUAUAUGAGAUUUAUUUUAAACNAAUAUUUCAUUAAAAUUAAAAUUAAAAUAUUACAUUAGUUAAAUAAAAUGAAUAGUAUUUACAGAUAAAUUUUGCAAUUAAAAAAAGAAGAAGAUAAAAUUUUAAUAUGGUGCGUGCAUAGACAAGCCUUACAUUUUCUUCUUUAAGUUGCGAGACAAAAGACCAGGUAAGAGGGGGAGGGGGGCACGAACAGCAGGGCUCGAGCCGGGCGCAAGAGCGCUACUAUGGAGGCUUUUAUUCUAACUAAACUAGCUUUUUUCGGCGAAAUUAAUGUUUUGACGACAUAAACUGAUAAGCUCUAUAUCAGACGACGCCUUCGUCGUCAAUCACCGCCGAUGGCCGCACCGUUGUCGUCUCCAUCGAAAAAUUAGCGACGGACGCAUAUAAUUCUGUUGGUAUUCGACUUAGCGACCACGUUUACGGCGACUCACGGUCUCCUUCGGUCAUCGGUCGGUGAUUGUUUUUAGCGACGAAAUUUUGGGCAUUAGCGACGAAAAAUUCCGUCGCUAAUCGCCCAAUUUCUUGUAAGUGUAAAUAUACUUAAAAGACAAGAUACAAAGCAUAUCUGAUUCAUCCCACACUUACUGAAGUGGUGUCGAGCAUAAUAAAGGUUAGUAUUCUACAUGAGACAAUGGUGUUAAUAGUUCUAAAUCAAAUCAUCAACGAUAUAUAUGCAAAUACAUUAGGCAAAAGAGUUACACAAACACCAACACUCAAGUCAAGGAGUGGCAGAACAAUCAAGCGAAGAAUAUUGGACUAAUAAAGUGAAAGAUUUUAUGAGACUUUGAAGCAACUUUUGUAUGUACGUACUUUGUACAGUUCUCUAGCUAUGAUUUUUGGCUCUAUUACACCGUGUCGGUGACAUUCUACUAGCAUUUUGAGGUUACCUUUUGUAUGUACAUUGUAUAUGCCUCGAUGCAGUUUUUGGUUUAAUGUAUAUGUAUAUAUAACGCGUAACGUCUGAAAGGAUACUUAAAUAGUUUAUAUAUAAAUUGUGUUAUGUAGAUUGUUGCUCCUAGCUGUACAAAUUAAAUACUCCUAACUGUAUUACAAUUGUGACCUACAAGUCAUAGUAUAAUAUGCUUAGACUUAAAAAUGAUUCGACCAACGCUUAUUGGUCCCAUAAUUCACAGAGCAAAUUAUGGAAAAAACCGCGUCCUUCGUGGUGUAGAAUUUCUAGUAUAUUUAUAAACGAAUCUGGAAAAUGCGUAAGCCAUUUGAUAUAUAUGCUUCAACGGCAAUCUAACAACUUCGCAUAUUUUUACUUUAACACUAUAUUCUAAUUUCGUAUUUAUUUCGUCACAUGUUUCUGGCAUACAUUGAUGUAUUUGUCGCAUAUGUUAGUCUUUUUUAUGGUUAUGUGCAAUCCAGCUUUCCAAUACCCGUAAGGGGUUGUUUACUUUGGUGGAUAAGUCUUGUUUGAUAAAAAUAGUAAGACUAAUCCUUUGUUUACUUUGAUGAUUGUAAUUUUGGGAUAUCCCAAGGCCCUUGAUUAUUUCUAUACUCCAAGCUAAUUUUGCUUGAUUUUUAUCCCAUGGAAAGAGUGGUUGGAGUAAUCCUACUUUUGAGGAUAAAAAUACUCAAUCAUCUAUUUGAUAGAAUAUCAUGCAAAGUAAACGCCCCUAAAUAGGACAAGAAAUUUUGGAAAUUUGAAAGGGAUUUCAACAGUGAAGCACAUGGUUUCUGAUCGAUGCAUAAACCAGACAUCACAUGUAGUCACAAAUAAUGGUUAUGACUGCAUUAAAGGAAAAAUAAUCCAAACAAGAAUUAUGGUCUUAGCUGAGUUCCUCAAUUAUAAAUAGGGAAUAUUAAUUGGAGCUUUUUUGCUUAACGACGAUUAUUUGUCUUUAUCAUGUGAAAAAAAGGAGCUAAAAUAUAGAUGAAUGUUUAGAAAGAAAGAGCAAAAAUAAAAGAAAUGAAAGAAAUAGUUAUUCUUCAUUUUGUCUUUGAAAUAUUUGACUUGUAUAAUUAUAAUAUAUGAUACAACAAUAUUUCAUAUAAUUAUUAACAAUCUGGCACCCACAUCAAAAUCUAUGAAAAAUCAAAAUCCAUGAAAACAAAACCCGAUAAAAAUUACUAUUAUCUACAAAUUCUAAAAUUUUUUUAUAAAAAAGAGUGGAACACAUCCCACAUGGCUUACAUAUUCAACAUUAAUCACCCAAUCCAUUUGUUAGAGUAGUUGUUUGCAGUUACAGUACAUGCAAAGGAAAUCAUAAAAAUGUGACUAUGUGCUUCACUUAGAUAAGAAUCAUUUAAUAUCAAGUCGCGCACAAUAAAAAGUAAAAAUAAUAAUUAGCUUGAUUAGAAGGUGGUGAAAUUCCCUUUAAAUACCUGUCAUUUGCACACCACACACUCAAACACACUCCCUCUUCUUCAUCUCUCUCUCUCUGUGAAUUAAUGUUUCAGCCUCCUUCUUAUAUAGCAUAUUCUUCCUUAAGAUUUCUCUCUUUCUCAAUAUUCCUCGUUUCCUCAAUCCCUAUAAUACGACGUGGGGAUUUUCCGUUCCUCGCCAUGGUGGACACUUACGCGGUGAACACCAUGCUUUGGAUUUUCUAUGGUUUAAUUACCUGUCGUUCAUCCCCACAGCAUCUUAAUUAUCAAAAUAAGUCCAUUCGGCCUAGACUUACCUCUUUAUUUUCUUCAUCUACACCUCCAAGCAAAAGUAUUAGUAUAUAGUAUAAUUUUUUAUAUAUUUGUAACUUGACCGGAUGAUCUUGGGUGAGGAUGAUUUGACGUUGCCCACGCCCACGGCGGUUAUCUUGGUGCUGCGUUUGGUAGGGGUGCCGCCAGCGAUGUGGGUGAAGAAGAAGGUGCUCUUAUAUAUGCAUUGCGAGGAAUGAAGUUUUGUGUUCUAAUUAGUGUGUGAGAUAUGGAUUUGAGAGUGUUAAUUAGCAUGCAUGUUAUAUACUCCAUCCGUCCCAGCUGAAAUGUCUUGUUUCUUUUCGGCACGGAGAUUAAGAAAUGCGUAUAAAGUAGAUAAAGUGGGUUGGUGAAAAUUAUUUAAAUAUUAAGUACAAAGAGAGAGUGUAUUGCCAAAAAAGGAAACAAGACAUUUCAAGUGGGACAACCUAAAAAGGAAAACAGGACAUUUCAGCUGGGACAGAGGGAGUAUAUAUAUAGAGUUGUUGAGUGGUUGUUCGGGUUACCCGUGUAGCAUGUUACACAUUGUGUUCUAAUUAUUGUACUAAUUUUGUAUCGGUUGUAUGUGAUAUGCACAUUUGAUGUCAUGCAUUUCAUAAUGAGAUAAUAACAAAAUUUGAUUUUGCACACUAAUUUUAAAAUAAAGUAAAAUUUUGAAGUAGCCAAAAUGAAGCAUAAAACACAAUUUAUGGCCACACAUUGAAUAAACACAAAAUUUGGCCUUUUUUUAUUUGGACGCUUUUACCCUUAAUGAGGCGGACCGGGUAGGAUCAGGCACGCGGGUCGCGUGCCAGGUCGGGUUAGGCACUUAUGGCACUAUUAGUGCCAUAAGUGCCAACGAAAAUUCAAAAUAAAACUAAGUAAAAUGGUCAUUUGGGCAUUUAUGACACUAAUAGUGUCAUAAGUGUCAUACGUGCAGCACAAAUACAUAAACAACAACAUCAUUUAAACCCUAAAUGAAACAUCUAAACCCUAAAUGGAUAAUCUAAACCCUAAAUGGUUUUAGGGUUUACUAUCCUUCUCGCUGUUCCCCAUCGUCUACUAUCCUUCUCCGAUAACCAGAAGCCAAGAAAGCCGCCUUCGACCAGCACCAUCAACACCAAAAACCUAGCCGCAGCUCACUCAAACUCUGGUCAAGACAUGAUUUUCUGUAAAACAGGGAGCACCCCUUUUCUCUUUGAUUUCUUAAAAUCAUUCAUUAUAAUUUGAUUUCUCUUAGACUUCUUAAAUUAUACUCGUUUCAAGCUUUUCGUGAUCAUUAUAUAGUUCUAGGGUUAAUCCAAAAAGGUAAUCAUAAAAGCAGGUUUAAGAAGAUAAGCUCACCUUUGGUUUUGUUGCUGUAAUGGCUUUCUCAAGUGGGUUGAUUUUUUAUCUACUUUGCACCGAUCAUUUGAAGACGAUUUGAUUUCUUGGAGUAGAAUUUCAAAAGAGGGAAACCAUAGAGAGUAGAAAGGGAGAAAAAGAAAGCUGAUCUCUCAUCGCCUAUGAGGAGAAAGAUGUGAGAUAAAUCAAUAGUUUCAAAAAUCAGCCUCCAAAUAACAUAAAAUUACAAAAAUUCGAGCACAUCACUAUUCUUUCUACAGUACUACUCAUCUUUCCACUUCUCUCUUAUUAACAUUGUUAAAUUAAAUUAAAGUAAAUUAAAUUUUGGUACAUCCCUUCAAAUUUUGCAUCGGUGGAGAAAAGAAGAAAAGGAGAGGGAAAAGAAUAUGGCAAUAUGCUAGUAUUUGAAAGCAAAAUGGUUCCACCGUUUAUUGCGCAGAAACGACUUUUGACAGAAGACUUCUUUUAAAAAAGUAAAGUAUUGUGUUUUGUCUUUGAAGGCUGAAACGCUGUCGUGUAAGCACAGCAGCCUCCGCUGUGAUUUUCAUCUUCUUCUUGCGUCGCAUCUCUUCCACACACUUGCUCUCUUUCAAAAAGAUUAUACUAACAAACUCUUGUUCUCUCAACCAAACACUCUUUAGUUUGGAGCAAUCUGCAGUUUAAUCCAAGGAUUAAUUUGUGAUGGCAGCCUAUGCAGCUCUCGCUUCUCUCUUGAACACAAUUGAGCAGAUGAUGACACAUCCUCGCCUUUCCACUUCUUUCGACAACAAUCAGAUCCAUUCCCUCGAGGAGAAGACUGCUUUGUUGCUCGAUUUCAUUGAGAACUUUAAUUAUGCUGGACUUAGCGAAGAAGCACAACAUCUCGAAAGCCUAAUUGCAUCUGCAGCUCAUACGGCUGAAGAUAUGAUUGAAUCUCACAUCGCCAAUCAAAUCCUUCCACUUUCGGCUGAUGACACGGAAUCAACUUUCAGUUUCUGGCUUUAUCUACAGGAAAGAGGGCAAUUGAAGGGGGAAAUGCAACUGCAGUUGGAGAUGUGGAUCAAUUUCAUGGUGAAUCAAACCAAGCAAUUGAGGAGCAUGUGGCUGGAGAUGGAUGCUUGGACUAUCUGCGGCAGAUAAUUGAAGAGAUGGAUGCUAUCAUCGAAAAGGCCAAUGAGUUGAAGGACAAACAGAGAUUCAGAGAGGAGCAUUCAACACCUCCUCUUAGUCUUACUCAGACCAGAGAAGAAACUGCUAUGGUGGGAUUUCGUGAUGAGUUGAUUCAACUUCUCGACCAGCUCACCGGUCAUCGAUCCAAUCUGCAUAUCAUCUCAAUCGUCGGUAUGGGCGGCAUGGGUAAGACUACUCUUGCCAAAAAUAUUUAUGCUAAUCAACUCAUCAUCGAACACUUUGAUAUUCGUGCUUGGGCUACCGUAUCUCAGCAAUACAAUGCUAAACAAAUUCUUCAACAACUUCUUUCUAGCCAAGGAAAAUCCUCCGAUAAAAGUGUAGAUGAAUUAGGAGAACAAUUGUAUAAAACUUUAUCUGGUAGGAGAUAUUUGAUCAUAUUAGACGACAUAUGGAGUGUCGAAGCUUGGGAUGAAGUGAGGUGUUUCUUUCCCGAUAAUGGAAGUGGAAGCCGGAUUCUUCUAACUACUAGGUUGUCAGAUGUGGCUAACGGUUGUGGAUCUUCUUGCUUUCGGAAGAAUCUUCUAGAUAAGAGUGAAAGUUGGGAAUUGUUCUGUAAGAAGGCUUUCCAAAAUGAAGAUUGCCCUAGUGAACUUGAGGAAGUUGGAAGGAAGAUUGUUAAAUUAUGCAAAGGACUAGCAUUGUCCAUUGUUGUGAUUGGUGGGAGUCUUCUAAAGUCUCCUAGGACUGUAGGAUAUUGGAAGAGUGUUGCCAAAGAUAUAGAAUCAAGUCCCAAUUCAAAAGAGAAAGAAGAAAGCUUAGAUGUAUUGUUUUCAAGUUAUAACCACUUGCCUCCUCAUCUAAAGCCUUGCUUUCUUCAUAUUGGAGUUCUUAAAAGUAUUAAUUAUGAGAACCUCAAUAUCUCGAGAAUCAUCCAACUUUGGGUUGCUGAGGGAUUUUUGAAAUCAAAUGGAGGGCGAGUUUUGGAAGAGAUUGCAGAGGAUUACUUGAAGGAACUUAUUGAUAGAAAUCUGAUAUUAGUUGGGAAGCGAAGUAGAAAUGGGAAGAUGAAAAGUUGUGAUAUUCAUGAUCUUUUAAGAGACCUAUGCUUAAAAGUAGCUGAGCAACAAGGGUUUUUUCAUGUGAUCAGUCGAGGCCCUAUACAAGGCACAGAACGCCGCCUGGUAUAUAAUAAGGCUCCUUGGUGGAGGGAAAAUGCUAGACCCUUACUUGCACGCUCUAUUGUGGGAUAUGUGUUUCACAAGGAAGACUCUUAUAAACAUAGAUUGCUGAGAAUUUUGGAUGCCGUACAAGCAGUUGAAGAAUAUAAAUGGGUGUGUUAAUUCGCUACUUGCCGUCGUCCUGGUAGCCGGAAAUGGUUGGUGCUUCCUAGUUCAUCAUUAUCCUUGGAUGGAAUUGCAUGCUUUAAUCUUUCAGAAUCUCAGUGCUCAGUUGUGCACCAUUGAAAUUUGGAAGAUGCACAACUUAGGCAUAUCCAGUGUGGUGUCGGAUUUUAUUUCUCACCCGAGGACAAUUGCAAGAUGAUUGUAAUCUUGGAAAAUCUUCAGACGCUUGGGAAGCAGUGAAUUUGAGGUUGAGUGAGGAUGUGUGCAAAUCAUUCCAACAUCAAGAUAUUGCAUCUUAAUUAAUAUGUUGCAAGGUGAUGUAGUUUGAGGUGUUUGUGUAAUCUUGAUCGUUGCUAACUUAAUCACUCAAACUGAGCGAAUUAGGUGGGGAACAUGUAUUUAAGCUGAAUGAGAUACUCCAUUUCCGAGAUGCUAAACAAGUUGAGCUUGAGCAACAUCGGUUUUGAAUGGGAUGAUCUGAGAAUGAUUGGUUCGUUGCCCCUACUCGAAGUUCUCCAGGUACGACGUAACUGUGUCACUGGGAAAAAUAGGACAACGUGGAGUCCUGUUGACGGGCAGUUUCAACGCCUCAAGUUCUUGAAAAUUGAUUGGGGUAAUCUGACAUGUUGGAAUGCAGAUAGUUGUCAUUUCCCGAUUCUGGAGAAGCUUCUUCUUGUUGACGUAUUUGAGUUGGAAGAGAUCCCAUGGGGUAUCGGUGAGAUACCAACACUCAAACUUGUUCAUCUGCAUCUCUGUAGUAACUCUGCUGCGAUUUCAGCUAUUAAAAUAAAAGAUGAGCAGCUCGAGUAUCAGGAAAAUGAUGACCUUCAAAUCCAAAUUCGCGUCGACAAUUAUAACCUGAAGAGAUUCAUGGCAAUGGUGGAAACAGAGGGCUUGACACUCGAUAAUGUUCAAUUCAAGUUAAUUUGAUUGAACUUCUUUGUUUUGUUUGGUAGUUGGUACACAUCUUGUGAUUGUGAGGAAAAAUGUUAAUCCUAUCAUGAUUUGUUUGCGUGGUGCCAUCCAAAACUACAAAUUGUUGUUGCAGAACAUUUUUUAUCAGAGUUUUCACAUCAAAGAAACAACAAACAUAGUCUUGUCAGACUAUAACUAAAUGGUUUGAUUGAUCAUUCUUUCAUUUUGUUAGUUAGCUGCCAGCUCAGCAUUUAGUUAGGGAGUUAAAAAGAUUAGUUAGGUGUUAUAACAGAAGCUUAGCUUCGUUUAUAUAUUUCUGUAAUCAUCUCUUGUAAAUCAGUUUCGUUCUAAUGAAAACACAGAAAAUCUCUCUCACUCUCUCUUACUAGCUUCAAUAAAAGUGAAGCACAUGCCCCUUUAUUCAUUUCUGUUAAGAUGCAGAAUAACUGUCUCGAAUUAAUCAUUUAAAUUAAUAGUUUUUUAUAUUUCAAAUCAUGUACUGAUAGGCAAUUUAUCUUCCGAGUCAUACUAGCUAACUUUACUACUCAAAGAAGCCAUCCAAUCGUCGACCCCUCAAAUAAUUAACGUGACACAAUCUUUUGUAUGACUUACACCCCUUUACUUGUUAGAGUAAAGGGGAAUAAUAUUCAGAUAUCAAAACUAAAGAAUGAUAAUUCGCAAAACAAAGAAAAAUCCAAACGAGAGAGGAACUCUCGCUCUUCUAGAGCAGCUUGUGCUAGACCAAAAUCAAAUCCUAGACAACCUCUCUUGUAAGGAGAGAAGCUCUAUUUAUACUACUAAGGGCAUGGCUGGCAUGCAGGAAUGGAAUGUUGAUUCCUGUGUUCAUCCUCAAUCCUAUAGCUGGUAUGGUCUUUGUGAUGGGAAUCGUCAUUCCUAGUAGAAUACCUCCCAUGCAUAUGGGAUUAGCCAUUCCUCCCUUCCCCCAUUGUAUUGCUUAUUCCACUUCUUUCGUUAACUAUCAGAUCUAAUCCCUUGAGGAGAAGGCUGCUUUGUUGCUCCAUUUCAUAGAGACCUAUAAUUAUGGCUGAUUUAGUGAAGAAGCACAACAUCUCGAAAGCCUAAUCGCAUCUGCUGCUCAUACAGCUGAAGAUAUGAUUGAAUCUCACAUUGUCAAUCAAAUAUUAAUCCUUCCACUUUCGGCUGAUGACACGGAAUCGACUUUCAGUUUUAGGCUCUAUCUACAGAAUAAAAGGGCAAUUGAAAAGAAAAUUACACCUGUAGCUGGAGAUGGAUGCUGGAUCGAUUUCAUGCAGCUCAUUAAGAAUCAAUUGGAGAGAAAAAAGGGGCAAUUGAAGAGAAAGAAGCACCAAGCAAACCACAGUUGCUAUCAUCCAAAAGGCCAAUGAGUUGAAGGAAAAACACAGAUUCACAGAGGAGCAUUCAACACCUCCUCUUACUCUUACACAGACAAGAGAAGAAACUGCUAUGGUGGGAUUUGGUGAUGAGUUGAUUCAGCUCCGGUCAUCGAUCCAACCGGCAUAUCAUCUCAAUCGUGGGUAUGGGCGGGAUGGGUAAGACUACUCUUGCCAAAAAUAUUUAUUCUAAUCAACUCAUCAUUGAACACUUUCAUAUUCGUGCUUGGGCUACUGUAUCUCAGCAAUACAAUGCUCAACAAAUUCUUCAAACGACUUCUUUCUAGCCUAGGAAAAAUCCUCCGAUAAGAAUGUAGAUGAAUUAGGAGGACAAUAAAGCCUAUUCCAGUGUUUUGGAUAGGUGAAUAUAAUCACCCUUAAUAUGAUUCAAAAAGAGCAUAGCCAAAACACUUUUCGGAAGCUUGUUCCACAUCUUUAAGGUUUAAACACUUUUCAUAUAAAAUCCAAAACGAAACCCUUACAAAAGUGUUUAAUAUGAAAAACCUUAAUCAAGAGCAGAACCUUCAAGCCAAAACCCGUAUGGAAACUCUGUAACAUGAUUGAGAAUCGCAGAAACAAAGGAACGAAAUAUAGAAGAACAAAAAUUACAUUAUUUGGGGGCUAUGGGCUAUAGGGUAUUUAAUUUGAGGGCUAUGGAUUAUAGGAUAUUUAAUUUAGGGACUAUGAGUUAAUUAUAGGGUGAAAUUAGUAAAUUUAUACUCCCUUAAUAAAAACGGGGUCUAUGAAUAGAAUCACCCUUAAUAAAAACUAGUUCAAUCAUUCACCCGUGCAAUGCAUUGACCUAAUAUUUAAAACUUUAUAACCAUAAGGUGUAAUGGCAUUAUAAUUAAAUAAUUUAAAUAUUUUAUAUAUUAGUAUAUUAAAAUAAAUACAUAGUAAAGUUACGUUUAACCCUUUGAAAAAGUUUAAUUUAGACAUGCAUGAGAUUAAAUAAUGUGUUCCUCACUUUCUGACGAACACGUGAGAUAAAUUUAAUAUUUCGAAAGAGUAUUAAAAUAUUGAGAUUAAUUUGUAUGUUAAGCUUUAUUUCAAUUUUUUCCUUAUUAUUUAGUAUUUCAUUUAAUUAUUAUAAGUGAGAAGGGCACAAAUAAGUAUGUAAACAGUAUAAAAACUGUCAAACAUUAUACGGAUGUAUAUCUAUACAUGGACAUAGAUAUACCCCACGAGUAUCAUCAAUCGUGUUAUUGUCUUGGUUGCUUUUCUCGGUUUGUUUUACUCACAUUGCAAGUUUUGUUGAGUCUCAAUCAUUAAUAAGCGUUUCUGUACUUGGGCUCAUUUUGCUUUUUUUCUUUUCCAAUAAAAUUUAAUUACAUAUGGCACACCUCCGUAUAAGCUUUAGAUGAAAUUAAGUAAAAUGUAGUCUUAUGAUUCAUAUGCAAUUGAAUAAGAUUUUUUUAAAUAAUCUAAUCCCUCAAGUUGUGAAUUACAUGUGAUUUCUGUGCUUUUUCAUUGCAUAAUUUUUGAAGUGGCAGAGUCAAUAUGAACAUAUAUAUUUAUAUUCUAUCUAAAAGAAAUCUAUCUUUCCAAUUAAAAUUUGGCACGUGGAUAGAGAAUGGUUGUUGAUAUUUCAAAAGAUAAAACAAACACUCUUUCGUCUCCAACAACACUACCGUUGACCAGUUUUCAUAUUGCAAUCUGCAGAUUAAUCUGAGAUGGCAGCUUAUGCAGCUCUCGCUUCUCUCUUGAAUACCAUUCAGCAGAUGAUGACCCAUCCUACCCUUUCCACUUCUUUCCACAACAUUAAUCAGAUCCAAUCCCUUCAGGAGAAGGCUGCUUUGUUGCUUGAUUUCAUAGAGACCUAUCAUUACGGUGGUGGAGUUAGCCAAGAAGCACAACAUCUCGAAACCCAAAUCACAUCUGCAGCUCAUACAGCUGAGGAUAUGAUUGAAUCACACAUCGUCAAUCAACUCCUUCCUCUUUCAGCGCAUGAUCGCGAAGCAGCUUUCAGUUUCUCCUUGUACCUACAGAAAAAAUGGGCAACUGAAGAGAAAUAUGCGCCUGCAGUUGGAGAAGUGGAUCAAUUUCAUGGUGAAUCAAACCAAGCAAUUGAAGACCUUGCACCUCAUGUGGCUGCAGGAGAUGGAUGCUUUGGAGUAUCUGCGACAGAUAAUUGAAGACAUGGAUGCUAUCAUAUCCAAAAGGCCAAUGAGUUGAAGGAGAUGAGUUGAAGGAGAUUGUUAGAUUAUGCAAAGGACUAGCAUUGUCCAUUGUUGUGAUCGGGGGGAGACUUCUAAAGUCUUCUAGGACCGUAGGAUAUUGGAAGAGUGUUGCCAAAGAUAUAGAAUUAAUUCCCAAUUCAAAAGAGAAAGAAGAAAGCUUGGGUGUAUUGUUUUCAAGUUAUAACCACUUGCUUCCUCAUCUAAAGCCUUACUUCCUUCAUAUUGGAGUUCUUAAGCAUAUAAAUUACAAGAACCUCAAUAUCUCGAGAAUCAUCCAACUUUGGGUUGCCGAGGGAUUUUUAAAAUCAAAUGGAGGCGGAGUUUUGGAAGAGAUUGCAGAGGAUUACUUGAAGGAACUUAUUGAUAGAAAUCUGAUAUUAGUUGAGAAACGAAGUAGAAAUGGGAAGAUGAAAUGUUGUGACAUUCAUGAUCUUUUAAGAGACCUGUGCUUAAAAGUAGGUGAGCAACAAGGGUUUUUUCAUGUAAUCACUCAACGCCCUCUACUAGGCACAGAACGUCGCCUCAUAUAUAACAAUGCUACCGGCUGGGGGAGGCGAACUUCUCAAGGCCCUGUACUAGGCACAGAACGUCGCCUCAUACUAUAUAACAAUGCUACCACCAGCUGGGAGAGGUGAACUUCCAGACCCCAACUUGCACGCUCUAUCAUGAACUGUAGAUUUCA